rnacentral:rRNA from 1 species
GAUGAACGCUGGCGGCGUGCUUAACACAUGCAAGUCGAACGGUGAAGCAGGAGCUUGCUCUUGUGGAUCAGUGGCGAACGGGUGAGUAACACGCGAGCAACCUGCCCCUGACUCUGGGAUAAGCGCUGGAAACGGCGUCUAAUACUGGAUAUGUGAUGUGACCGCAUGGUCUGCAUCUGGAAAGAAUUUCGGUUGGGGAUGGGCUCGCGGCCUAUCAGCUUGUUGGUGAGGUAAUGGCUCACCAAGGCGUCGACGGGUAGCCGGCCUGAGAGGGUGACCGGCCACACUGGGGCUGAGACACGGCACAGACUCCUACGGGAGGCAGCAGUGGGGAAUAUUGCACAAUGGGCGGAAGCCUGAUGCAGCAACGCCGCGUGAGGGAUGACGGCCUUCGGGUUGUAAACCUCUUUUAGCAGGGAAGAAGCGAAAGUGACGGUACCUGCAGAAAAAGCACCGGCUAACUACGUGCCAGCCGCCGCCGUAA